UUGGUUUGACCAGUUUGCCCGUCGAUGAGUGUGUCAGCUACACAAGUUGGUACUUGUGCACGCUUCAGUUAAAGUAUCGUUGAAGCAGCAACGUGUACGACAGGUCAGGCAGAGCAAUUGAGCCGGCCGCCAUAUUGCUGUCUCCAAGUUAUCACAACAGAGCUCUGAGAACAUCAGCUACGGGUAUGUCAAGCAACAAACGGUGUUCGCUCAAGCGGUGACAUCGGUGAUCGAGGUGCGUGCAGGGUACACCUAUCCUGUCAGAGUGCCAUAUAUUUCGGAUAGCGAAGUGUUUUCAGGUAGUAUUUCUGAUUUGGGUUCAGAGGACGUUUUGACAUAUACGUGUCUGUGUAGGUCUAGAACGACGCAUGGAAUUAACUGACGGUGACAAAAUAAAGCUAUGCUCAGUGUUGUGAAAGCUAUAGCUAGGAUGCUCCAGAAAAAUCUUAAAGGUCAGCUCCGGAGAUACCUUGACUUCUUGAAACUGUAACAAUAUCCUGGAAGCCCAUAUCGAACUGUAUCUGAAACCACCCUUCAUUUCCGCAAAACAGCCCCAUAUUUUAAAUAAUCGUAAAUUAACCAUUUCGAAACAGACAUGGGGGCCGCCAUUUUUAUGACGGCAGCUGUUCACGCGGUCUAUAUCGCCGACGUUGAUAUCAGUGUUCUUCAAGCCUUCCCUCCCUCUCUACGGAGCAUACGGGAAUGUAAACAAGCGAUGGUGGCAGGGAGCGUCUGCUCGAUCGACGUAGACUUCUUGAUCGCAUCGAUUUUUUAUAUUUGGGAUGAUUUGCCAAUGCCAAAACACGCUGUUGAUACCAUUUGUGCAGUUAGAAUUCGUGCAAUUAUGCUGUCGCGUUCCGGCCAGCGGCAAACUGGCUAAGAACGCAAUGAACGUCACGUAUAUCGUCAACGGAACUGUGCUACGCCUAAUACGAAAGAUAUUUUUAUUCGCAUUGUAGGUGUCUUUGAUAAAGUAAGUCAAUUCAUUGCUUAAUUGAAGACUUCACUCUCUUAUAGUUACGGUUCACCACUGCUGCAUCACUUGUGCAUAUCUUUCUCACUCUCGAAUACCUGGCGUUUGACGUUACAGGAGCAGUAAUCACAUUUCUUGGCAUUAUACCGGGUGAACGAGUUGAGUUUGGCAACGCCAUGUUAUCGUAUACACACUGCAGGUACGUACGUGAGAGCUGGGCUUGAAUGACAACCUUAGUGUAGAUUCGCGAUGAACGUAUUUGCCGAAAUUUUACGCUGUCGAGAGACCAAGCACCAGAUACAAGAACAAGAUACUUACAUGAGGGCAUACGUGGCUUAUGAGAGCUGAACAGAAAAAGAAAGGAAGGAAAAAAUAAACGAAAACAAAAAUACACUGCACAGUACAAGGACACCGUGCAAGUGUAAUUAUCAGGAAUAUCUUGCACCUUAUUUCGGCUGGUCUAUUCAGUGCAGUGCAGCCAUGAGCCAUCACAUGAAUCAACCACACAAAAAGAGAAAGAAAAGAAAUGAAGAUGAGUUGCUUCCAUGUGUCAUCUACACCAGUAUUACAUCUGGAUCUGCAUGCUGGGUUCAGGAGGCGAGUUACUUCUUGAAUCAAUGCACAUUUCCACACAUCCCACAGAUACUGUAAUUUUACACGUAACAUUGAAUAGACCAUAAUUUUAUUGAAUACACAGAGAUCAUAAAACUAUCUGACUCCCCGCCAUAAUCCCUCGCAACAGGUAAACAAGUACACUGCAAGAUGGACAGAAUACAGGUGCAGUUGAGGGGAGCUGCCUCAGGACAGAAGCCGCCGAUAUUUCGAACAGAGACUGUUCUUAGAGACUAUAUACGAGACUGUUUGUACAUGUUCACUGAAGCCCUUCUGCUGUCGACUUGCAUUUAAUGCCUUGCAGAGCUGUUAGCGUUGUACUGACUCAUUCACUGUAGUGCUUGCGAUGAGCCCCCUUUGUGUAGUCUCUUCAUUCUGUUCGGGGGCUCAUGAACAGCCAUCGUCCACAGAGAUCGAGCAGAGGCCCAGAAAGCCCCUGGACAUACUCUGACAUGAAAAUUAUCAUUAUUAGAAUUCUUAAAACAGACAGGACAGGCUUGUGCAGUAAAGAAGCAAUGCAAUUCUCUGUUUCAGUUGUUUUCUCACACACAUUCCUUAUGUGUAGAUACAAUAUGUGGCACACAGAUAAAGUGGAAGCGGUGGUGUGAUACAUGACCUACUUACCAUGACAUACUUAGAUACAUGACUGAGUAACAGCACUGAGACUAGGCAACUUUUAGUGCACACAAUGGCGGGAUGUCUUUCAGAAUGGGAAGUACACCCACUAUCCCCUACAACACUUCGAAUGUUCCAGUUCCUGUAAGUGAGGAAUGCAGGACAAUUGCUUAGUAAUCGCUGCUAGCUUGAAAUACUGUAAAUCACCUUCGUGGGGCCAAAGCAGCUUCCCAAUGUCUUGAUGUGCACAUCUUGCAUGGUGACUUUGAUGCUCAUGAAUAUGUGAAGCAACGUUAUGAUCCAAAUAUUCAUGACAUGCCAGAGUAUCAUGAGCCAUUUUACCGGAACCAGGUUUCCAUUAUCAUUGCUUGUCCAUGUGCAUGUUCACGAUACUGUGGCACCAUUAUUGUAGCACCAGACGUUGCUUCACCAGUGCUGCUGUAUGUACCUGUUUCCUGGGUCCUGAGCAAGGAGAAGCAGAAAUUAUAAUUAUACCUGUUAAGGCUAAUAUUGUUAGGAAAAGCAAAAAAGCAUCUACAUAUUUAAGAGCUACAAAAUGUGAUCAACAAUGUUGACCGCAUAGCUUGCCCCCAGCUAUACACCUGCUAAUAGGAAAUAUGUUGUCAACCAAUGGACAGCAUACAUAUGUGUUAUGACGGUGUGCUACAAAGCAAAUGUGGUCCUCUUGCAAUGUGCCGUGUGUCAAAACGAUGAUUCACAGAUAGAAGAGUCUUUCUCAUGACUUCACCUAUUUCUGCUAAUCUGUGACGAGCAUGCUGACCGUCAUCCCUUGCUGGUUAAGGUACUCAAUUGCUGGAGUCAACUUCAUUAGUAUAGAAGGACAGAAUGGAAUUUUUGGCACGUAAUAACUUUACGUUACAACUUGAAUACAAUGCGCUCACAGACACAGCCCGGCUUUUAAAGAGGAACAACAAUAUGCUACCAUGUAUGCAGGAUAUGGGGUAGUUCCAUGGUUGGGAAAAGGCUGAGUGUGAUCAUACAGAAGUCCAAACAGACACAGAGUGUCUCAAAACAGGAACUCCUAAGUUGUUGCUGAUUUCAGGUGCUGUGACUGUUUUGUCUUCCCUGUGCCCAAGCUCAGACUUCUCCAAACUCAUGUAAUUUCUCAACCAGCUUCUCUGAGAAACUGCGUAGUUUUACAUACAACCGCGGAUUAUAGGGCUUAGCAGUCCCAUAUUUGUCCUUCACAUGUUUACAUUGUGUACAAGCCAUAGCGCAAGUUCGUGCGGACACUUACCCGCAACUUUGGUCCCUUGGUGCUAUCCUUUCCUCUUUGUUGUCGUCGAACGAGGCAGGUGCCGCAUCCCUUUCUAGCGACUUUUACAGUCCAAAUCGGCCGUUAGGUGAACGACCUCGUAACAUUCUGAUGCAAAAUGCUUCGAGCACACACGGCAGUUGCCUUGAUAAGUUCAGAGCACUCAACCUCUGGUUUCGUACCACUCAAUCACGCACAAUAUCAACUGGGAACCUGGCACGAUACAUCUUUCUUAGUAGCGUACCUGCGUACUGCAAGAAGCACGGCGUUGUCACAAUUCACUCACGCUGCAUCUCUCACAAAGUGACAACUUAGAUGAGGUUGUGUGGACUAAUCGGAGUAAAAAGAUGAUCAAAUUAAGGCGCGGAGAAAGGUGCCCGUACGUACACGACUCUCGAUUUCGCUUUCAGCCUGGCGAGUGGUGAUUGCUGGCGAUUGCGAAACUGCGAGCCAGCAAACAAGCCAAGAGGAGCCAAAGCGAAAGCUGAGCGUGACGUCAGCUGUUCAAGCGGACGAUCGGACGGCAAACCAAAAAACAGAUUUCGCAGUAAAUACAGGUAAAGAAGUGGAAGCUGACUUACACGCCAACUAUACAUUCCUCCAGACUAAGGGACUGUAGCACUCGCAGAUGUGCAGCUUUGAAGUUUCUUAUCGUGUAAUAAACGUUCUUUGUUCUGUA